rnacentral:rRNA from 1 species
UACGUAGGGUGCAAGCGUUGUCCGGAAUUAUUGGGCGUAAAGAGCUCGUAGGCGGCUUGUCGCGUCGGCUGUGAAAACCCGGGGCUCUACCCCGGGCCUGCAGUCGAUACGGGCAGGCUAGAGUCCGGUAGGGGAGACUGGAAUUCCUGGUGUAGCGGUGAAAUGCGCAGAUAUCAGGAGGAACACCGGUGGCGAAGGCGGGUCUCUGGGCCGGAACUGACGCUAAGGAGCGAAAGCGUGGGGAGCGAACAGG